AGCGCCUGCGCAUUGCCACCAGCGCGCAUGCGCAGUUUUGACCCCUUUGCACGGCUGCGGAAAACUGCAGCGUGCCAAAGGGUCGGAAUGACCCCCUUGGCCCUACCCAGAUUUCUUGGGUGUUCUCAGUAUUAUGGUGCGUUACAAGGUGCCAGUGUGUUGAUCUUGUCGGUGAAUUUGACCCAUGUGAUUAUAGUGAGGACCGGUCAGCAUGUGGAAGGGAUGGGGGACGGGAGUCAGUGCAGUGUCACCCAGCAGCAUCAAAUAAUGAUGCCAUUCCUCCAUAUUGAUCUGAGGGGUCUCUCCCACUUCUCUGACCUUGUUGUGAUGGUUGAAAUGUUGACAAGGUGAUUCUGACUAGAUGUGCAUUGUAUCACUGGGUGAUUCCCUUUAUAAGGCAUCUCUGAUCUGGAAACCCAUUAUCCGUGUAUUUCAGAAAACAUGAAAGGAAUGAAAAUAAAUUAUUGCUGAAGGAAAGUGGGCGAUGAUCCCAGCAUGCACCAAGUGCCGGAGAUACAUACUACAGAUACAGGGAAGCAACAUUAUAAAUCAGAGACAUACAAUACACAAGAUGCAUGACUGUAUGGAGACAAGGCAGGUGCACAGUACACUGUAUAGCGACAGUAUGUGGUGGCAAUAUGGUGACAAAACGCUUGAACAGAGCUACAAUUGUUCCAUGUGUUCUCCACUGUGGUCAACAACAGUUUCCAUUUGAAGAACAGCAUUCUCUAUAGCAGACUGUAACAAGGUGGACAAGCCAGCACAUGACAUCUAGUGCUGUCGUUCAGCCUAACAAGUUUUUCCUUCAGGGAUUAACACAAAGAUACUUUGGGCUACAAACUCGUGAGCAAGCCACGUAAAGCUGCCCAUGGGAGAAGCAACUGGUCCUGAGAUCUACACCUGCAUCCCUGAGCGUUUGUCCCUGCGACUUGCUGAUCGUCAUAGGGAAGCAGACACUUACAAGGAAACUACAGGCACUUGAACUGAAAAGGAAAAUUGUUGGGGAUAAAGAGUAUACGUGGUAUAAACACAGUCUCACCUGCACCCCAUCCAUUUACAAUCUCUGCCUCAAUUAGGUUCCUCUGCAGAGCAGCCACGUAAGUCAGGUUACAUUGCAUAACUUGGGCGGAGUGAAGUUCGGAAGAUGCAUGAUCAGACCACCAACUUCUAGUGCAUAGAGCGUCUGUUUUGUUACUUUAUUGUUCCUCUCCCUGUUGUCACAUCGAGAUCAUACAUACCUCAGUUUCUUUCUAGGUCAAUAAACUAUACAAUAGC